GAUGAACGCUAGCGGCAGGCUUAAUACAUGCAAGUCGUACGGGAUCCGAGGUAGCAAUACUUUGGUGAGAGUGGCGCACGGGUGCGUAACACGUAUGCAACCUACCUAUAACCGGGACACAACCUCGAGAAAUUGAGGCUAAUAUCCCAUAACACUGCGAGAUGGCAUCAUUUUGCAGUUAAAACUCCGGUGGUUAUAGAUGGGCAUGCGCGACAUUAGCUAGUUGGUGAGGUAACGGCCCACCAAGGCUACGAUGUCUAGGGGUUCUGAGAGGAUUAUCCCCCACACUGGUACUGAGACACGGACCAGACCCCUACGGGAGGCAGCAGUAAGGAAUAUUGGUCAAUGGGCGCAAGCCUGAACCAGCCAUGCCGCGUGAAGGAUGACGGCCCUAUGGGUUGUAAACUUCUUUUGUACGGGAAAAAACCUCUGGUCGAGAAUCAGAGCUGAUGGUACCGUAAGAAUAAGCAUCGGCUAACUCCGUG
rnacentral:rRNA from 1 species